UACGUAGGGUGCGAGCGUUGUCCGGAAUUACUGGGCGUAAAGAGCUCGUAGGUGGUUUGUCGCGUUGUUCGUGAAAACCGGGGGCUUAACCCUCGGCGUGCGGGCGAUACGGGCAGACUUGAGUACUGCAGGGGAGACUGGAAUUCCUGGUGUAGCGGUGGAAUGCGCAGAUAUCAGGAGGAACACCUGCGGCGAAGGCGGGUUGCUGGGCCGACACUGACGCUGAUGCGCGAAAGCUAGGGGAGCGAACGGG
rnacentral:rRNA from 1 species